CUAGUACGGCGAGUGAACAGGCAAGAGCUCAGAUUUGAAAGGCACUUUUGUGCCGUUGUAUUCUGAAGUUAGGGUCCUGAGAAACGAUGCUUAAGUCUUCUGGAAAGGAGCGCCAUGGAGGGUGAUAGCCCCGUCUAGCAUUGACCUCAUAUAGGAUCUUAACAUGGAGUCGAGUUGUUUGGGAAUGCAGCUCAAAUGGGUGGUAUGCUCCAUCUAAAGCUAAAUAUCUGCGAGAGACCGAUAGUAAACAAGUACUGUGAGGGAAAGAUGAAAAGAACUUUGAAAAGAGAGUGAAAAAGUACGUGAAAUUGUUGAAAUGGAAGGGUAGGCCGCUAACCAUGUAGAGCCGUGUUUGGGGGGAAGAUAAAUGCUGUAGAAUGUAGCUCCUCGGAGUAUUAUAGAUGCAGUUCAUAUUCCCACCCGAGCGCGAGGAUCUCAGGUUCUACUAAAUGGUGGUCUACCAC
rnacentral:rRNA from 1 species